rnacentral:rRNA from 1 species
UACGUAGGGUGCGAGCGUUGUCCGGAAUUAUUGGGCGUAAAGAGCUCGUAGGCGGUGUGUCACGUCGGCCGUGAAAACCUGCAGCUUAACUGUGGGCGUGCGGUCGAUACGGGCAUCACUGGAGUUCGGCACGGGAGACUGGAAUUCCUGGUGUAGCGGUGAAAUGCGCAGAUAUCAGGAGGAACACCGGUGGCGAAGGCGGAUCUCUGGGCCGAUACUGACGCUGAGGAGCGAAAGCGUGGGGAGCGAACAGG